rnacentral:lncRNA from 1 species
CAUAAGGAAGCAACACAUACAUCAGGAUGUCAGGCUGCACUGUACCAAGGCAAAGCCUGUUUCUUUUAGCUGUGUCUUGGUCUUCAACACAGGUCCCUCUGUGUAGAAGAUGCUGUGUAAUACAACAGAAAAGAACUGGAAUCCAUUUCAAGCCUAGGAGGAAAUUCAACCUGGACUAUCUUUUUCUUUCAAGAAAAUUAACAAAGAACCAAAGGAGCCCUUUAUCUACCGAGUGCAGACUUCAUUAAUUAAUCCUUUUUAUCUAUGACAGUUAAAGAUUUAGUUGAGUACCAACCACAUAAACAAACCUAUCAUCAAGAUAACGCAUUCAUUUCGAAGUGAGAUUGAUUGCACAGCCUUCAACAGGAGCUCCAGCUCAUUUAUAUACUGACUACAAUGCUCAGCACUUUCACCUGUCACAACAUGCUGCCUGAUGUACCAGCUAAAAGUGACUCCACUACACAGUCUUUUAGGGAAAAUUUUCUCUAGGUAAUAUGUUUUUAAAUGCUUGUAAAAUAAU